UAGCUAGUUGGUAGGGUAAGAGCCUACCAAGGCGACGAUCGGUAGCUGGUCUGAGAGGAUGGCCAGCCACACUGGAACUGAGACACGGUCCAGACUCCUACGGGAGGCAGCAGUGGGGAAUAUUGGACAAUGGGGGCAACCCUGAUCCAGCAAUGCCGCGUGUGUGAAGAAGGCCUGAGGGUUGUAAAGCACUUUCAGUGGGGAGGAGGGUAUUUAGGUUAAGAGCUAGGAUACUGGACGUUACCCACAGAAGGAGCACCGGCUAACUCCGUGCCAGCAGCCGCGGUAAUACGGAGGGUGCGAGCGUUAAUCGGAAUUACUGGGCGUAAAGGGUGCGUAGGUGGUUGAUUAAGUUAUCUGUGAAAUCCCUGGGCUCAACCUGGGCAGGUCAGAUAAGACUGGUUAACUCGAGUAUGGGAGAGGGUAGUGGAAUUUCCGGUGUAGCGGUGAAAUGCGUAGAGAUCGGAAGGAACACCAGUGGCGAAGGCGGCUACCUGGCCUAAUACUGACACUGAGGCACGAAAGCGUGGGGAGCAAACAGGAUUAGAUACCCUGGUAGUCCACGCUGUAAACGAUGUCAACUAGCUGUUGGUUAUAUGAAUAUAAUUAGUGGCGC
rnacentral:rRNA from 1 species